UAGCAGGCGCUAGGCCUAAGUGACCCUUAUUCCAUAAAAUGAAGAACAUUUUUAAAAUUAUAAAUUUUACAGUAGAUUUCACUUCCCUUCCAACUUCGAACGGAGUAACUUUCCGUGAUCGUGAAUGAAUUCAUAGACAUACCGUACAACAAUCACGUGAUCAACUGUGUCUACGGCACCGGGGGUGUAUGCAUGACCAUAGAUUGUAUUACUAAGUAACACAAUCUUAGUAACACCAUAGGUAACACAAUCUUAGUAACACAAUCUAUGGCAUGACAGCCUCUUAAUUAAUCGCGUGGCCUUUUGGUUUUCUCGUAGAUAAUUAAUACUACGUGGUUUUCUCAAACAAGUCUCUCGGGACGUUUUUGAUUGCAUAGUUGAAACAUGAUACUUAUACUGUUAUUUAGUAUAACGUGGCUUAGAGAAGCAAGAGCUAACUUGAUAGCGGCAGCUCUUCCUCGUAGACCAGUGCAAGAGUCAGCUAGUGGAGCAGGUCGAGCUGCAGCCAUCAUCGCUGGUGAUGAUAGAAUCAUCUGGUACAAGAGUGACGAAAAUGAUCAUUACUUUUUGCUGGAGCCUGAGCAAGAAGUGGGAACGAGAUACUUUCAGAAAAAAGAAGAAAUGGUCGUGGCGAGUGAUUGCUGUAAAGUACCCAAAAAUUGUCUUGUGUGAGGCUCAGUGCCCUUAUACUUACACUUAUUUGUAUGACAUAAGUUGUUGCAACGCCGGUCCUACAGCACUUCUAACUAGUUUUAACUAUUUUUUCAUGUAUAGAC